UACGUAGGUGGCAAGCGUUGUCCGGAUUUACUGGGCGUAAAGAGCGCGCAGGCGGUCGUUCAAGUCGCGUGUGAAAGCCCCCGGCUCAACUGGGGAGGGUCACGCGAUACUGAUCGGCUCGAAGGCAGGAGAGGGUAGUGGAAUUCCCGGCGUAGUGGUGAAAUGCGUAGAUAUCGGGAGGAACACCAGUGGCGAAGGCGACUACCUGGCCUGUUCUUGACGCUGAGGCGCGAAAGCUAGGGGAGCAAACGGG
rnacentral:rRNA from 1 species